rnacentral:rRNA from 1 species
UACGUAGGGUGCAAGCGUUAAUCGGAAUUACUGGGCGUAAAGCGUGCGCAGGCGGUUGUGCAAGACAGAUGUGAAAUCCCCGGGCUUAACCUGGGAACUGCAUUUGUGACUGCACGGCUAGAGUGUGUCAGAGGGGGGUAGAAUUCCACGUGUAGCAGUGAAAUGCGUAGAUAUGUGGAGGAAUACCGAUGGCGAAGGCAGCCCCCUGGGCCAAUACUGACGCUCAUGCACGAAAGCGUGGGGAGCAAACAGG